AAAUCACACACCUCUCCGUGGUGAGUAGCAGGCAACGACCUUAUGGUCGGCGAAGAUGUGA
rnacentral:ribozyme from 2 species